rnacentral:rRNA from 1 species
CCGCCCGUCACACCACGAAAGUCGGCUCCACCAGAAGUCAGUGCGCCAACCGCAAGGAGGCAGCUGCCCAAGGUGAGGUCGAUGAUUGGGGUG